CAAACUUCAGUUUCCAUAGAAAUGUAGGUUUAUUUAGAAAAGCACAGUGUAAAAAAAGUUGCCUAACUGACACUGGACGUCCUUGUGCUCGUAGGGCUUCAAAAUAAACAAAAGAGCCAAUUUAUUUUAAGGAGGCAUUUGCAUAUAAACAACAUUUCAGUCCAACUACCUCGACAUAUUAAGAAAUGUUUGGUAAUGGGACUGAAAUGGUGAAUGUAUGCUGUUGCACAGCUGUAAAAAACAAAUUAUGUUAUCUUGUUGAUUUUGAAGUUCUAAGAGUUUGUUCUUCACUUUGGCUGAGAUCAUCAAACUUGAUGAUCUCAGCCAAUCCAAUGCUUUCCCAUUGGAAAGCAUUGUUAGGCUCUUGUGCAUGUGUGGCAAAAAGCUUCACGGUCAAUCAGCAUCUCCAUGGGGAGCGUUCAGCGCCCCCACGCAGACCCAAUCUAAUACACUGCCCACAAAUCCAAUACAUUGCCCCCAAAUCCAACACACUGCCCUUCCUCCCUCCACUCAUCCACUCCACCAUACACUGCCCCUUCACCCAAUCUAAUACAUUUCCCCUCCUCCCUCCACUCUAAUUGAAUAGACUGCGCCCACUCCCACCACUCUACUUUAAUACACUGCCCUCCCCCCAAUUUAACACACUCACACCCUCCCUCCCUUAAAUAAAUAUACUUAAUAGUGCCCCCUCACUCCCUCCCUCAAAUUAACAGAGUUCCUCCUCCCUCCCUCAAAUUAAUACGAUGCCCAAUUCCUCCCUCAAAUUAAGAGUGCCUCC